rnacentral:snRNA from 1 species
AACUUUGCAAGAGUGGCAGUAUCAUAGCCAGUGAUGUUUAUUCGAGGUGUGAUUAUUGCUAACUGAAAUACGAAUAUAGGGCUAAGAUAGAUAGCCCUUCAGGCUCUUUCUUUCUCUAAGG